UCCUACGGGGGGCAGCAGUGGGGAAUAUUGCCCAAUGGGCGAAAGCCUGAUGCAGCAACGCCGCGUGAGUGAAGAAGUAUCUCGGUAUGUAAAGCUCUAUCCGCAGGGAAGAAAAUGACGGUACCUGACUAAGAAGCCCCGGCUAACUACGUGCCAGCAGCCGCGGUAAUACGUAGGGGGCAAGCGUUAUCCGGAUUUACUGGGUGUAAAGGGAGCGUAGACGGCAGUGCAAGUCCGGAGUGAAAGCCCGGGGCUCAACCCUGGGACUGCUCUGGAAACUGUAAAGCUGGAGUGCGGGAGGGGCA
rnacentral:rRNA from 1 species